rnacentral:rRNA from 1 species
UCCGGGAUGGUGGGGACACUGUUGGGACCGCCUCUGCUAAAGAGGAGGAAGGGAAUGGGCACGGUAGGUCAGCAUGCCCCGAAUUAUCUGGGCUACACGCGGGCUACAAUGGGUGGGACAAUGGGUAUCGACACCGAAAGGUGAAGGCAAUCUCCUAAACCCAUCCGUAGUUCGGAUUGUGGGCUGCAACUCGCCCACAUGAAGCUGGAAUCUGUAGUAAUCGUGUCUCAAAAUGGCACGGUGAAUAUGUCCCUGCUCCUU